rnacentral:antisense_RNA from 1 species
UUCUACGGCGGCCCAGGGCGGGGGAGCCUUCGGGCUCGCCGUCCAAUGGUUCGGUCUUCCAACCCUGCUUUGGGCUGCCACCCUC